rnacentral:lncRNA from 1 species
CCAAGUACUCUUUAUUUGUGCAUGACUUUGAUUAUGUCUUCUUCCAUCAAGGGAAGACCCUAAGACCUACUUCAAAAUGGAAAUCAAAUGGCUUUCAAUUCUCAUAACAACCACCAUCUUCAUCAUCACAAUCUUCAAACUCAUCCGCCAUGGCCGCUCCUUGAACAACCUUCCACCAGGGCCAUCACCUCUCCCAUUUCUUGGCAACAUCCUCUUACUCCGUAAACACUCUUCUUCAUUCUUCUCUCUCCUUCACACCCUCCACCUUCAGUACGGCCCCAUCUUCACCCUCCACUUCGCCUCUCGCCCUGUCAUUUUCAUCGCCGGCCAUUCCCUCGCCCACCAAGCUCUCCUUCACCACGGCGCUGCCUUUGCCGACCGCCCCCCUCCCUCCAUCACCACCAAAAUUCUCUACAGCAACCAUAUCACCAUCUUCACCGCCUUCCACGGCCCCAAUUGGAACCUCCUCCGCCGUAACCUCAUCUCUGAAAUCCUUCACCCUUCUCGCCUGAAACUCCACUCCGACGCUCGCCGGUGGAGCCUGCUCUCGCUUGUCUCCCGCUUGAAAUUGCACUCCCAGGGUGGCACAGCCGCCGUUUGCUUUGUGGAUCAUUUUUGGCCGACGAU